rnacentral:tRNA from 1 species
UAGAUUUUAAGUUAUACAAACUAUGGGCCUUCAAAGUCCGCAAAGAAAUAGUUUCAAAUCUAA